rnacentral:rRNA from 1 species
UACAGGGGGUGCAAACGUUGCUCGGAAUUAUUGGGCGUAAAGCGCGCGUAGGCGGCCACUUAAGUCGGAUGUGAAAGCCCCUGGCUCAACUGGGGAAGUGCACCCGAAACUGAAUGGCUUGAGUGCGAAAGAGGGUCGCGGAAUUCCCGGUGUAGAGGUGAAAUUCGUAGAUAUCUGGAGGAACACCGGUGGCGAAGGCGGAUCGUCUGGGCCAUUACUGACGCUGAGGAGCGAAAGCGUGGGGAGCGAACAGG